CGGGAAGUGGCGCAAUUGGCUAGCGCACCGCGUUUGGGACGCGGGGGUUGCAGGUUCGAGUCCUGUCUUCCCGACCA
rnacentral:tRNA from 1 species